rnacentral:rRNA from 1 species
CCCUUAGAUGUUCUGGGCCGCACGCGUGCUACACUGAGUGGAUCAGCGGGUCAGGUUGCGCGAAAGUGUUUCCUAAUCUUGAAAUCCGCUCGUGAUGGGGAUUGACGGUUGCAAUUUUCCGUCAUGAACGAGGAAUACCUUGUAAGCGCGGGUCAUCAUCCCGCGCUGAAUACGUCCCUUCCCUUUGUACACACCGCCCGUCGCUCCUACCGAUUGAGUGGUCCGGUGAGGCUUUGGGAUCUGAGCAAAGAGAGCGUUUCGCUCGUUUUGCCCGGAAAACUCAGUCGAACCUUAUCAUUUAGAGGAAGGAGAAGUCGUAACA